rnacentral:tRNA from 1 species
GGUAAAAUGGCUGAGUAAGUAUUAGACUGUAAAUCUAACCACAGAGAGCAAUCUCUUUUUACCA